rnacentral:rRNA from 1 species
CCUACGGGAGGCAGCAGUGAGGAAUAUUGGUCAAUGGACGAGAGUCUGAACCAGCCAAGUAGCGUGAAGGAUGACUGCCCUAUGGGUUGUAAACUUCUUUUAUAUGGGAAUAAAACAGGGUAUGCAUACCCUCUUGUAUGUACCAUAUGAAUAAGGAUCGGCUAACUCCGUGCCAGCAGCCGCGGUAAUACGGAGGAUCCGAGCGUUAUCCGGAUUUAUUGGGUGUAAAGGGAGCGUAGGUGGAUUGUUAAGUCAGUUGUGAAAGUUUGCGGCUCAACCGUAAAAUUGCAGUUGAAACUAGCAGUCGUGAGUACAGUAGGGGUGGGCGGAAUUCGUGGUGUAGCGGUGAAAUGCUUAGAUAUCACGAAGAACUCCGAUUGCGAAGGCAGCUCACUGGACUGCAACUGACACUGAUGCUCGAAAGUGUGGGUAUCAAACAGGAUUAGAUACCCCAGUAGUC